GGCUGUACUACAGUCUGAUAACUGCACUAUUUUCAAGUUUUUUCAGAGUAAAAUAAAUGUAAAAUGUGAGACUGCUCUCUGCAAAGUAAGGUCACCCCACUUUGUUUUAUGCUUAGUCCAUGUUCUACGUAGAGAUCACAGUGAGAGCAGGCAGCAAGAUCAGAGUUUCUCAAACUUUGUGUCUCAGAAUUAGUCUCAUUGAAACGGUUUACACUGGCAGAAUCAAAUGUAAAGUUAUGCCUUGGAAAUACUUGUUUUCAUAAAUGGAAUGUAACAGUAAUUUGAGUGACCAACUCCCUAAAUGGCCAAGUCUUAAAUAGUUGUUUUAUACAUUAUUCCUCAUUUUUUGUUAAAAAAAAAAAAAAGAAGGCCAUUUUACCAAAAAAACACAGAGCUCGGUCUGAAACUAUUUCUUGAAGAGUGUGCCAUCAGAUGCCCAGGCCAAACAACACCACUGUGUGACAGUGAGUGAAGUAAUUAUUCAGAAUCAAGUGGUGUUAAUCUGGCCUGGUCCUCAUUGAAUGAAGCCUGAUAACUGCCUGAUUGCUGAGCUUUCAUCUUUUGUCUCAUCCAGCCAAGGCCUCACCCUGUCUUUGUCUAUGACCUGAGUGUAGCCUGACUGCUUUCCUUUACAGUCAUUCUGCAGUGUUAAACCCUAGCAGAGGGGUAUGUACAGAUUAGAGACUCCCUCACAGUACUUGGUAGUAGUCAUCCUUUUGCAGUGGCAGUAUCAUAACCUAUGAGGUUUAUCUGAGGUGUGAUUAUUGCUGGUUGAAAACUUUAACCCAAUACCCGCCUUGAUGACUUGAAAUAUUGUCAGCAAUGGCAAUUUUUGAUGGUCUUUACAGAGACUGAUAACCUUGUAAAAUAAAAUGAAUUUGUAAGUUGUAAAAGAAAAAAAUGUUGUGAGAGUGUUUGGAAUGUGUUUGUAUUUGAUCGCAGUGAAAUCUCUCAGGCAAAGAUACUGCCAUGUGUUAAUUACUUAAAUAUUAAGAUUUUUCAUCAGUGGUGUUGUCAAGGUCUAGAUAAGCCUUGGGCUGUAUUGGAGUCUGAUAAUUUUGCUGCUUUCAAUAUAUAACAUGAGACACUGUGCUAUCUGCAAAAUAAUAUUCUACAUAAACGUCACAGUAAGAGCAAGUUGCACGACCAGUGGUUCUCAAACUCUGUAUCAGAAUUAGCCUUAUUUAAAAGGUUUAGAUUGGUGGAAUUAAACAUAAAGGUGUGUAUUGGAAACACUUGUUUUCAUGAAUUGAAUGUGAAAGUAAUUUGUGUGGCUGAAGCUUUGAAUAGUGCAGUCCUAAAAAAGUUGUUCUUAUAAAUCAUUCCCAUUUUUGUGUUGAACAAAAAAGACUUCGGCCUGAAACUAUUCAUUAAAAACUAUAUCCUCGAAUGCCCAGAGCCUUCUUGAGCCUCAUCCAGCCUAGGCCACACCCUGUCUUUGUCUAUGACCUGAGUGUAGCCUGACUGCUUUCCUUUAGUCAUUCUGCAGUGUUAAACCCUAGCAGAGGGGUAUGUACAGAUUAGAGACUCCCUCACAGUACUUGGUAGUAGUCAUCCUUUUGCAGUGGCAGUAUCAUAACCUAUGAGGUUUAUCUGAGGUGUGAUUAUUGCUGGUUGAAAACUUUAACCCAAUACCCGCCUUGAUGACUUGAAAUAUAGUCAGCAAUGGCAAUUUUUGGUAGUCUCUAUGGAGACUGAUACAUUGUAAAAGAAAACUUAUCUAAUUAGUUUCCCUGUAUGACGGGUUUGAAGCACAGGAAGGACUCAAUAGAAUUACAUGUUAAUGACAUGAGUAAGAUUCUCAAUCAAUAGUGUUGUCAAGGUCUUGAUAAAUCAUGGCCUGUAUUCAAGUUUGAUAACUGCGGUUUUAGAGUAAUUUAAGGUUAAAAUGAAAAUAAAAUAUCAGAUGUGCUUUCUUUUAUAGUCAGGACAUGUUCCAUUACAGCCAGAGCAGGCAGCAAGACCAGUGGUCUGUGUAGUGUGUGUCUUGGAAUUGGUCUUAUUUAAAUGAUCUACACUGAUAGAAUCAAAUGUAAAGGUGUAUAUUGGAAAUACUUUUUUUCAGUAAUUGAAUGUAACAAUAAUUUGAAUGACAAAACCCUUUUCAAGUCUUGAAAAGUUGUUUUAUGCAUUAUUCCUCCUUUUGUAAAAAAAAAAAAAAAAAUGGCAAAAGAAAUAAACAAAAAAAGAUUUAGGUCUGAGGGGUAUAUUCUCACAUGCCCAGGCCCAACAACACCACUAUGAGUGUGAAGUAGAUAUUCAAAAUCAAGUGGUGUUAUCUGGCCUCCUUCUCAGGAUGAAGUCUGAUAACUGCCUGAUUGCUGAGCUUUCAUUGUUCAUCUCAUCCAGCCGAGGCCACACCCUGUCUUUGUCUAUGACCUGAGUGUAGCCUGACUGCUUUCCUUUAGUCAUUCUGCAGUGUUAAACCCUAGCAGAGGGGUAUGUACAGAUUAGAGACUCCCUCACAGUACUUGGUAUUUGUCAUCCUUUCGCAGUGGCAGUAUCAUAACCUAUGAGGUUUAUCUGAGGUGUGAUUAUUGCUGGUUGAAAACUUUAACCCAAUGCCCGCCUUGAUGACUUGAAAUAUUGUCAGCAAUGGCAAUUUUUGAUGGUCUUUACAGAGACUGAUAACCUUGUAAAAUAAAAUGAAUUUGUAAGUUGUAAAAGAAAAAAAUGUUGUUAGAGUGUUUGUAUUUGAUCGCAGUGAAAUCUUUCAGGCAAAGAUACUGCCAUGUGUUAAUUACUUAAAUAUUAAGGUUUUUCAUCAGUGGUGUUGUCAAGGUCUAGAUAAGCCUUGGGCUGUAUUGGAGUCUGAUAAUUUUGCUGCUUUCAAUAUAUAACAUGAGACACUGUGCUAUCUGCAAAAUAAUAUUCUACAUAAACGUCACAGUAAGAGCAAGUUGCACGACCAGUGGUUCUCAAACUCUGUAUCAGAAUUAGCCUUAUUUAAAAGGUUUAGAUUGGUGGAAUUAAACAUAAAGGUGUGUAUUGGAAACACUUGUUUUCAUGAAUUGAAUGUGAAAGUAAUUUGUGUGGCUGAAGCUUUGAAUAGUGCAGUCCUAAAAAAGUUGUUCUUAUAAAUCAUUCCCAUUUUUGUGUUGAACAAAAAAGACUUCGGCCUGAAACUAUUCAUUAAAAACUAUAUCCUCGAAUGCCCAGAGCCUUCUUGAGCCUCAUCCAGCCUAGGCCACACCCUGUCUUUGUCUAUGACCUGAGUGUAGCCUGACUGCUUUCCUUUAGUCAUUCUGCAGUGUUAAACCCUAGCAGAGGGGUAUGUACAGAUUAGAGACUCCCUCACAGUACUUGGUAUUAGUCAUCCUUUCGCAGUGGCAGUAUCAUAACCUAUGAGGUUUAUCUGAGGUGUGAUUAUUGCUGGUUGAAAACUUUAACCCAAUGCCUGCCUUGAUGACUUGAAAUAUAGUCAGCAAUGGCAAUUUUUGAUGGUCUCUACGGAGACUGCUAACCUUGUAAAACAGAAAAAAUACAUAACAAACAAAGCAGUUACAUUAUACUUGUUGGCACGUUGUUAGUAUCUACAACUUGUGAUAGGCUGAUCUAUUGACAAUGAAAUAAAUGUCAAGUCAUAUUUAUCUACUACAAAUAAAUGUUUGCAGUUUUUUGAGUUUUCUUCCAGCAUUUGAUCCAUUUUUCAUGAAAUUAUGUUGUAUUCUAUUGAGAUAUCUAUGCAUCUGUUGUAGACAUUGCCUUGUUUACUUUUUUAAAUGAUUUGAAAUCUAGUUAGCAAUGACAAUUCUUGAUGCUCUCUACAGAGACUGAUAAAUUGUAUAAAGAAAAGAUGAAGAAAAGAAAAAAGAAGAAGGCCAUUUUACCAAAAAAAACACAGAGCUAGGUCUGAAACUAUUUCUUGAAGAGUGUGCCAUCAGAUGCCCAGGCCAAACAACACCACUGUGUGACAGUGAGUGACGUAAUUAUUCAAAAUCAAGUGGUGUUAAUCUGGCCUAGUCCUCAUUGAAUGAAGUCUGAUAACUGCCUGAUUGCUGAGCUUUCAUCUUUUGUCUCAUCCAGCCAAGGCCUCACCCUGUCUUUGUCUAUGACCUGAGUGUAGCCUGACUGCUUUCCUUUACAGUCAUUCUGCAGUGUUAAACCCUCGCAGAGGGGUAUGUACAGAUUAGAGACUCCCUCACAGUACUUGGUAUUAGUCAUCCUUUUGCAGUGGCAGUAUCAUAACCUAUGAGGUUUAUCUGAGGUGUGAUUAUUGCUGGUUGAAAACUUUAACCCAAUACCCGCCUUGAUGACUUGAAAUAUAGUCAGCAAUGGCAAUUUUUGGUAGUCUCUAUGGAGACUGAUACAUUGUAAAAGAAAACUUAUCUAAUUAUUCUUCCUGUAUGACUGGUUUAAAGCACAGGAAGGACUCAAUAGAAUUACAUGUUAAUGGCAUGAGUAAGAUUCUCAAUCAAUAGUGUUGUCAAGGUCUUGAUAAAUCAUGGCCUGUAUUAAAUUUUGAUAACUGUGCAGUUUUAGAGUAAUUAAGGUUAAAAUGAAAAUGAAGUAUCAGAUGUGCUUUCUUUUAUAGUCAGGACAUGUUCCAUUACAGCCAGAGCAGGCAGCAAGACCAGUGGUCUGUGUAGUGUGUGUCUUGGAAUUAGUCUUAUUUAAAUGAUCUACACUGAUAGAAUCAAAUGUAAAGGUGUAUAUUGGAAAUACUUGUUUUCAAUGAUUGAAUGUAACAAUAAUUUGAGUGACCAACCCCUUUUCAAGUCUUGAAAAGUUGUUUUAUGCAUUAUUCCUCCUUUUGUAAAAAAAAAAAAAAAAAAUGGCAAAAGAAAUAAACAAAAAAAGAUUUAGGCCUGAGGGGUAUAUUCUCACAUGCCCAGGCCCAACAACACCACUAUGAGUGUGAAGUAGAUAUUCAAAAUCAAGUGGUGUUAUCUGGCCUCCUUCUCAGAAUGAAGCCUGAUAACUGCCUGAUUGCUGAGCUUUCAUCUUUUGUCUCAUCCAGCCAAGGCCUCACCCUGUCUUUGUCUAUGACCUGAGUGUAGCCUGACUGCUUUCCUUUACAGUCAUUCUGCAGUGUUAAACCCUAGCAGAGGGGUAUGUACAGAUUAGAGACUCCCUCACAGUACUUGGUAGUAGUCAUCAUUUUGCAGUGGCAGUAUCAUAACCUAUGAGGUUUAUCUGAGGUGUGAUUAUUGCUGGUUGAAAACUUUAACCCAAUGCCCGCCUUGAUGACUUGAAAUAUAGUCAGCAAUGGCAAUUUUUCAUGGUCUUUACAGAGACUGAUAACCUUGUAAAAUAAAAGGAAUUUGUAAGUUUUAAACGAAAAAAAUGUUGUAAGAGUGUUUGUAUUUGAUUGCAGUGAAAUCUUUCAGACAAAGAUACUGCCAUGUGUGUUUUACUUAAAUAUUAAGAUUUUUCAUCAGUGGUGUUGUCAAGGUCUAGAUAAGCCUUGGGCUGUAUUGGAGUCUGAUAAUUUUGCUGCUUUCAAUAUGUAACAUGAGACACUGUGCUAUCUGCAAAAUAAUAUUCUACAUAAACGUCACAGUAAGAGCAAGUUGCACGACCAGUGGUUCUCAAACUCUGUAUCAGAAUUAGCCUUAUUUAAAAGGUUUAGAUUGGUGGAAUAAAACAUAAAGGUGUGUAUUGGAAACACUUGUUUUCAUGAAUUGAAUGUGAAAGUAAUUUGUGUGGCUGAAGCUUUGAAUAGUGCAGUCCUAAAAAAGUUGUUCUUAUAAAUCAUUCCCAUUUUUGUGUUGAACAAAAAAGACUUCGGCCUGAAACUAUUCAUUAAACACUAUAUCCUCGAAUGCCCAGAGCCUUCUUGAGCCUCAUCCAGCCUAGGCCACACCCUGUCUAUAUGUAUGACCUGAGUGUAGCCUGACUGCUUUCCUUUACAGUCAUUCUGCAGUGUUAAACCCUAGCAGAGGGGUAUGUACAGAUUAGAGACUCCCUCACAGUACUUGGUAUUGGUCAUUCUUUCGCAGUGGCAGUAUCAUAACCUAUG